GUGGCAAGGCGCCUGGGUCUCUGGGGAUUUCUGAGCAGACAGAGGAUGGGUUUUCCUGCAGAAGGCAUCUGGUUGCUGGGUGGAAAUGUGAUUGCAAGAGAUGUGGGCAAAGGCAGAGUCACUGCAGCCUGGACGUGUGGUGAUGGGAGCUUGAACCAGGGUCGGAGGACAAGGAGAUGGAGUCACGUCGAUGGUUUUAAUACACUCUGGCAGCAAAGAACAAAAGCCUGAGAACUGCCUUUUCAACCACAUGUCCUCUGUCUCCGAGGGAGGCAGUGGGGAAUAUCGGCCACCUGAAGUGGAGUCCAGAAGCCACAGAAGAUGCCUGAAGCACCUGCUAGGGCCACACACUGUGUUGGGUGCAGGAGAUCCACACUGAAGAGAGGCCCUCCUGGCCCUGUGGAGCUCUGUGUGUACAAGGUGAGGCAGACGAGGAAACUGGCACUGACGGUGUGAGUCGUGCUCCCCGACGUGGCCGCAGCCCCGAGACCCGGUCACCACAUCCCUGAUACGAUCUCCAGCGCUGGCUGGCUGCACGUGCAAAUGCGCCUUCAGCCUCAGCUGAUCGCACAGUUAUCACGUCCCGUAGGACCGCUGUGCCCUCUCCCACCCCACCUGGUGGGCCCCACCCAUCCGCUCGCUCCUGUGUCUUGGUGACCGGGGGCAGCCCCAGCAGCUGCACACCUGCACACCUGCACGGAGGUUUCAUCGCUGAUGUUCUGCAGAAGCAGAGAAAGGAAGCCUGUCCUGUAACAUUAUCUUUCCCGCAGGGAAUGAGGGGUUAUUUUCACCCUUUUCCUUCCCCAAGGGAAACCUUGAUUCUCUCUGCAUACUCGUCUUCCUCUUACGUAGGCUGGCGAGGCUGGGGUAUCUCUCUUCCCGUUUCUGCUGGAAGAUGCUAUGGAUGCAUGGCCUUUUAUUAUGGCUCGGGAGCCCACCCCACUUUCGUGGAGCACGGGGAUGAUUCUUUCAGGCUUUCCAAGAACAAGCCACCCCCCACCCCCGACCCUCCGCAAAGCCGUCUUGCCUUGGCCACACCGUGCGUGGACGUCUGCAGUGUCUCACUCUGAGCGACACAUUGGGCUGGAGCCCGGGGCAGAAUCACUGUUCAGAAGGAUUUUCAGGCAGACGACUCCCUUUUUCACUUGUGGGGACAAAUUGUUUAUUUAUGGCCUUUUCCUUCAGAGAUUAGAUAGCCUAGGUUUGGGGGAGUUUCCCGUAAGUUGCAGUGCCUGCCCUGCCCCAGAACAGUCCUCGCCACCUGCACAGCACCCACUGGCCUUCAAAGACCCUACAGCAUUACAACGAUGUCAUCAAACAGAAAGACUGAGGAGCUCAUAAAACCGCUCGUGCUGCCCUUAUCUGCAGCAUUUGUGAGGAGGACACAUCACUCCUUCGUUUCUGGAUUCAUAUUUGUGUCUCUGAUUCUAAUUAAUCCAGCUUAAGAAGACUGCCUGAUUUUAGCUAAAAAUAAAGGUUUACCAUGAUUUAAGCUUUUUUGAAAUUUUUAAAGUUCUAUAAGCAAAACAUAGAUUGCCUUGGGGUAAAUCACAAUAAGUAACAAAAAAUUGCCUCCACCUAGACAGGUAUGAGAAAAGGUAAUAUUUGAGAUCUUAGAAAGUCAGAUUAGUCAUUCCUUCAGAAUCAUCCCGAAGCACAGCAAUCCUAGAUUCCACACUUGUGAUGCGAUUUCUUUCCCAGUAAGUGGCUCAUGAUGGCCCCAAAUAUCAAAUAAAUAAAUAAAAUAAAAAUAAAGAAAGGAAAUGUCUAUGUUUGCCCAAGGAUUUGGCAAUAUCCAAAGGGUAAAACUCCGUGUUGUAAAGGAGCAAAAUCAUAAUCUUUAUCAGCAAAGCUACUCUUGUUAUCUCUUUCAUGCUGGGAGACUGACUAGCCUUCUGUACCAUCAGCUUUUCCUACAAAUUCCUUUUCAUGCUGCAAUGUGUUUGCAUGAGCAAAUUACUUCCAAAUUCUUAUAAAACUUCACAUUUAUAAGUGUCUCCACUUCCCUCUGAGAGGCAGAGUCCUGUGGUAGCUCAGGCCUGAAUCGCAGGGUGAAGACACAGCCCCAAGUGUCUUCACUUCUCAGUCGUCCCAUAGGCCCAGGGAGGACCCUCUGCCAGAGUAGAAGCCCAGCAUUCUUGGGACCCACAGCUAUUUGUCAUCUUCCUCUACAGACAGCAUGUCCACUCAUCACGAGAACAUCCCUGAAGAGUGUUUCAUGAGUUAAUGAAUUGCCUCCACUGAAUUGCUGGCCACGGAAACCCAUAUACAAGUGAGACUGAAUCGACAGCCUCAGAAGUGAGCACAGCUCCCUGCAGGAGGAUUUUUGUUGCCAACAAUGGAAGACAUUCUUUCGACCCCAGCUUAUCCACGUGGAUGUUUCCUGAGCACGAUCUCAUCCCCGCCGGCUGCUCAGAGCAUGUGCCCCAAUGCUGCAUGUACCCCCACCCUGCACCCCACCCUGGUCUCUUGGAAGGCCUGAGUUGGCCAGCAGCGCACAAGUUAUGAUUUAGUUUGAACAACGGUUUUAUUUCUUCAUCUCUGGAGGCUUCGUGGUCUGACUUCCAACUUUUGGCUCCACUUUUAAAGAACAUUUUAGAAUAUGUUACCACUUUAAUACAAGACAUACGGUUAUUAUUUCAAGAAUCGGCCUUGGCGUCCAAAUCUUUCUGCAGUAAGUCUUGCACAGACCCUGGAAUCAGUAAGAAGAGAUCUUUUGGGGACACCUGGGUGGCUCAGUGGUUGAGCAUCUGCCUUCAGCUCAGAGCAUGAUCCCGGGGUCCUGGGAUAGAGUCCUGCAUUGGGCUCCCUGCAAGAAGCCUUCUCCUCCCUCUG